rnacentral:lncRNA from 1 species
GCAAUUUAAGCUUGAAUUGGGUGGGGAGAACAGUCAUUAACUGUAGCAAUUUUUUCAAGGUGCUAUUGGUCAUCUCCUAGGCGCUGCUGGAGCUGUUGAAGCAAUUUUUGCAGUUUUGGCAAUACGGCAUGUAAGCAGUUUUUAUUUAUUUAUUUUGCCCACUUGCAUCAACUUAUAGGGAAGCAUUUUUGCACAUAAUACAGUAGCUUUUGUGCUUAAUCUAAGAGCCAAGCCCUGUAUGCUUAAUAUAAUAAAAUGGUUUCUGUGAUGCUUGUUGUAACAGGGUAUUGCUCCAUUAACUCUUAAUUUAACUAAGCCAAAUCCUAUGUUCGGUGAUGGUUUCAUGCCAUUGUCUGCUUUAGAAGAAAUGCCAAUUAGAGUUGCUAUGUCACAAAGUGUGCUUAAUGUAAUAAGAUAUUUACCAUAUUCUCUAAGAAAAGUAAAAAAAAAAUACGUCUUAUUAUCAAGACUCUUGAGAUUAAUUAUGAUAUUUAUUUUGUACAUAUUAUAAAGAUAUAUUAUUUCUAAUUGUUUAUUAAAACUAAUUUCUUUUAGAAAAUACAAAAGCAUUUAAAGACAAAAUUUUCAUCUCUACCAUUUUUUUCUAUUAAUGAGAGAGUUAGAAUUCAAAUAUUUAACUUCUUGCUUAAAGGACCUAACUCUAACGUUAUUUGAAUCAACUAGUUGUUGGGAUUAAUAUUAAGAUUAUGAUUAUUUUUUUAUUUUUUUAUACCUAGAAGGUAUCUAAGAUUUUUAUUUGGCAUGUAACCAAUUUCUCUCACUCCUGAUCAUUUUGAAGUAAAAUAGCACUACCCUGGAGUUAAAUAUUAACAAAACUGGUUACUAUUAUUUAAUUUUACUAAUCAUAUUUUAAAAAUAAUUUUUUUAAAGUGUAUUACUUAAGCACAUUUUUUUAAGUACUAAUGUUAGAUGUUAAUUUGUACAGGUCACGAAAAAUCUGUAUCCAGUUUAGCUUUUAGCUAUGAUGGACAUUGUUUGGAAUCGGGAGGCUUAGAUGGAAUUAUUAAAGUGAAAUUUGGAAGGUAAAAAAUUUGAAGGACCUGCAGGGGGCAUUGAGGUGAGAUUGUUAGUGAAAACAAGGUGUUAUUUUUGUUGCUUUUAGUAAAAGAAAUAUCAACUAGAAAUGAAAAAAAAAUAAACAAAACACACCCACCCUUCCUUUUCUUGGUUUUUUCUGUUUUUAUUAGUUACUAAGUUAGAUGCCAUGAAAUCUUUCAGUGGCUUAGGUGGCAUCCAAGAGGACACAUACUUAGUUUUCUUGGUUUCUUUGGUCUAUUUUGAUGUAAAUCCUCCAGUAUAUUUCUAACUACUAAUUUUCUGAGGUUCACUUUUUACGAUUCAGAUUGAGUUGAAUUAUUGAAAGUAAAAUCGGAAAUUGGUUGCUUCUCAUGAGACUAAAUAAUUGUUUUCGUAGUUUAAUGCUACUAUCUUCUAUGCGAGUAAUAUGAGCGAUUUUAUUUUCUGCAGGGGAAAAUAAAGCAGA